AGGACCCUCGUAUAUAAACUUCUUCCAGCCUUAGCUCAGUCUCUGUCCAUGUAUUGAGGGAAGUAACUGCCAGCAGGGAAGUUGGCGGGAUUAAACCAAAACAGAAUUUCAGGCUUGUUUGAUGCAUGUCAGUGAGAAACAUGUGAACCUUUAUUUGGGGUUUUUAUUUUCGUUGUGAGCUUAAAGGAAAUCGCACCAUGUGCGAGGUUCCGCGACCCGAGCACGUGGGGUGGCUAGGAGACAAGAUGGAGACAAGAUGGAGGAUGGUUAAAGAGGGAUCAACGAGUUGAAGAUCGAUUCCUUCAGGCCGGCUGCCACUCUAAAAAAAAAGAACAAAACAACAAUCCGGAGGUAUUUGAAAUGACAGAUCUUCAUCCUUUUGAUAACCCUACCAAACCUUUAUCAUGCGUCCCCACGUGACCACACGUAAGGCCUUGGUACACUGCUUAUAUUUUUUCAACGUCCAUUCAGUCAGUUCAGUGCCGAAACUGGAUGGCCCAUUUUUUCCCCUUUGAUAUUGUUAAAAACCUGCAGGAUUUGCUACAAUAUUUUUAGCACUACACAGAAGAUGGAUGCUGAGUGAACCAGUUGAGUCAGCAGUUGUAAGCUGAUGGCAGUCAGCAGUGUGCCCAUUGACAGAAUGGCUCACUCCAGCUCGUCUUGUCCAUUCACAUGUCUAACAUGAACAGAAGAAAGCUUCAUUGAUUAAGUCAUUCAGGUCAUGUUCUCACCAGGCAACGCUGAUUUCAAGUUAAAAGAUGUUAAAUGGCCUGUACUUGUAUAGUCCCCAGAGACCCCAAAGCGCUCUACACUACAAUCAGUCAUACGCACAUUCAUAACCACAGCUGUCCUGGGGCAGACCCAACAGAAGUGAGGCUGCCAUACACAGGCACCUCCGACCGCCAUCGCGGUAGUGGUAGGAAGGAAAGGAAAGGACGUUUUUUAAAGUUGGGUAUAUUAAAAUAAAUUGGAUGAGAUUUGUGUUAUAAAGCAUUUGGUUUUGUUUAGUGUAUUGUGGGGUUAUAUGUAAUAAAGGUAUUACAAUGUAAACGUUUAAAUGUUUGUGCCUACUUUGCAGCUCUUGGCUUUUCUGGAAUAAAGUCUGACAUGACUUGGAA